rnacentral:tRNA from 1 species
GCCGAUGUAGUUCAGUGGCAGAACAUUUCCUUGGUAAGGAAAAGGUCGUGGGUUCAAUUCUCACCAUCGGCU